UACGUAGGGUGCGAGCGUUAAUCGGAAUUACUGGGCGUAAAGCGUGCGCAGGCGGUUUUGUAAGUCAGGUGUGAAAUCCCCGGGCUUAACCUGGGAACUGCGUUUGAAACUACAAGGCUAGAGUGUGGCAGAGGGGGGUGGAAUUCCACGUGUAGCAGUGAAAUGCGUAGAGAUGUGGAGGAACACCGAUGGCGAAGGCAGCCCCCUGGGAUAAGACUGACGCUCAUGUACGAAAGCGUGGGGAGCAAACAGG
rnacentral:rRNA from 1 species